CAAGGAAUCUUGCGCAAUGGGCGAAAGCCUGACGCAGCGACGCCGCGUGGGGGAAGAAGGCCCUUGGGUUGUAAACCCCUUUUGUAGGGGAAGAUAAUGACGGUACCCUGCGAAUAAGCCACGGCUAACUACGUGCCAGCAGCCGCGGUAAUACGUAGGUGGCAAGCGUUGUCCGGAUUUACUGGGCGUAAAGAGCGCGUAGGCGGCUUGUUAAGUCUGGGGUGAAAUCUCCCGGCUCAACCGGGAGGGGUCCUUGGAUACUGGCAGGCUGGAGGGGAGCAGAGGAGAGCGGAAUUCCCGGUGUAGUGGUGAAAUGCGUAGAUAUCGGGAGGAACACCAGUGGCGAAGGCGGCUCUCCGGGCUCUACCUGACGCUGAGGUGCGAAAGCGUGGGGAGCGAACCGGAUUAGAUACCCGGGUAGUCCACGCUGUAAACGAUGGACACUAGGUGUGGGGGGUAUCGACCCCCUCCGUGCCGAAGCUAACGCUAUAAGUGUCCCGCCUGGGGAGUACGGCCGCAAGGCUA
rnacentral:rRNA from 1 species